rnacentral:rRNA from 1 species
AGCGAACGCUGGCGGCAGGCUUAACACAUGCAAGUCGAGCGCCCCGCAAGGGGAGCGGCAGACGGGAGAGUAACACGUGGGAACGUACCCUUUAGUUCGGAACAACCCAGGGAAACUUGGGCUAAUACCGGAUACGUCCGAAAGGAGAAAGAUUUAUCGCUAAAGGAUCGGCCUGCGUCUGAUUAGCUAGUUGGUGAGGUAAUGGCUCACCAAGGCGACGAUCAGUAGCUGGUCUGAGAGGAUGAUCAGCCUCACUGGGACUGAGACACGGCCCAGACUCCUACGGGAGGCAGCAGUGGGGAAUAGUGGACAAUGGGCGCAAGCCUGAUCCAGCCAUGCCGCGUGGGUGAUGAAGGCCCUAGGGUUGUAAAGCCCUUUCGGCGGGGAAGAUAAUGACGGUACCCGCAGAAGAAGCCCCGGCUAACUUCGUGCCAGCAGCCGCAGUAAAAC